UUGGAUGCAAAAAUAAACAUAGACCCUCCCAUACCCUUUACUGAUAUAUCCCCCGAGUUCUUUAAACAAGGUUAUUACAAAAUUAAAAGAGAUAAGGUAAAUAAAAUACAUCAUAGCCCACAGCAAGAACCGAGCAGCCUAAUUCAAUCUUAAUAUCCAAUACAUGUGUUUCACCAAAUCCGGGUUCCAGGUUCCAAGGCAUUCUCUUAUUCAGAGUGUGUCAAAGUUCCAAGGAGAUUCAAUAGCCCAGGUAAUGCUUACACUAUGAAGAGUAAAUAUUGUAACAGAAUAGUGCAAGUGUGAGCCCUCAGGCAUCCAAGUUCAGAGGAAACUCCAAGGUCCCUAAGCAUGGCUUACACUCUGAAGAGUAAAUAUUGUAACAGAAUAGUGCAAGUGUGAAAUUAGCAGUCCUCAGGCAUCCAAGUUCAGAGGACACUCCAAGGUCCCUAAGAAUGGCUUACCAAAGGGAGGGGGGUAGAAAUUAUGAACUAGGAAUGAGUGCAAAGUGAGAGGUAAACCAUAGCAGAUGGUGGUCAUACCCAGCCAUGGCAUAGGCUGGCACACCCCUGACCCUCUGCUUAGGUCAAACAAAUAGGAGCAGACUCUGGGGAGUCAAACUUAGGGUCUGAGUGGUGAUUAGGACACUACCAUACCCAAGUUAAAGCUCAACACAUAAAAGGGAAGAGGGAAUGGGAAAGCAUUUCAGUAGAGACUCAUGAGAGUCUGAUUUUGGAUCAUGGACAGCAAUAUCAGACGCUGCCAUGAUUCAGAACAAUACUAGCACACCUAAAGGGAAUAGGGGGAAGGGAUUUCCAUGCAGAAGCAUACACUGACAUAAAAAAAAAAAGAAAACAUAGCAGACUGCAGAUGUAAAGACCUAGAAGAUCAUGAUAUAGAACAUGAACACCCAGUGAAAAAUGUGUAGAAGAAGAGAUAGUAGGAGAGUGUUAUUUAACUUAGAAGUACAUACAAGUUUUCAGUUCUAGUACAGCAGAGAAAGAACAGCAAGUAAACAGCCAGACAGUAAGCAGAAAACUUCAGCAAGCACUUGGGAGUUUAGAAGAACUCAACAAAUAUUCAGACAGUAAGAGAUAAAGGAGCAGAAUGCUUAGUAGCAGUAAAGAAGGUAGUAGUAGAGAGAGUAGUAGUAGAGAAAAUAGUAAAUAAAGACAGGGGUGAUUAUGUAAUGCAAAGGUUCAGAAAGUAUUCUGAGAGCUGUGUUGUGUUCGAGUGUUUCUGUGUAAAAACUUGUGUUUUUGAACUUGUGAGAGCUGUGAGCUUUUAUAGUGCAAAAACGAGUAGACAAGAAGGAAAGGAAAUAAAAUCUCAGUCAAUCAAAUAAAAUCUCCCUUAGUCAAAAGGGAUUUGAUUUCAAAUGGGAAUGGUAAUUAAGGGAAGAAAAACCUUUCAUAGUAGCAUAAUAAAGGGUAGGUUCAUACAAAGUCUAUUUAAGGUAAGAAACUAUAGUACGCAGUUUUGAAAGAAUAAAGAAACAAAGAAAUCAAACAACCAAAAAGGUUUAAAAGCUUUGAAUGAACUUAGUCAGGAAAAUAGGGAAAAGGCUAAGUUGUAAAAAUCAGUAGCAAAUCAGUCGAGCCUUAGUGAAGGGGAUUGAAAUCAAUCACAAGCUAAUAGUAUUAAUUCAAAAAGAACAAAACCCUUGUAUAUAAGCACGAUGUAUCAAACAAGAAAGAAAUAUUGGCAUAAACAGUUUUAUAAUCAUAAGCAAAAAAGGAAGUUCAGUCUAUGAUUUCACCACAAAUUUGAGAGCCUAGGGUUUCUCGAGUAGAACCCUAGAACCAAAAGCUCGUAAAACCCCCCAAAUAGGGUUUUAAUCCGAGUAGGACACACAAAAGAGAAGGCAAACUCAACAAGCCUGAAAGAGUUCCAUGAGGAAAUACACAGACAUACAUAACAAUCAAAAGCAGUAGAGUGAAAACUUGUAAAGAACAAGUUUUAAGAAAACUAAAACUCAGACAAGUUCAGAGAAGCGAUGCCAUAUGAGUUUAGGAAACCGCUAAAGAAGCAAGUUCAACAACCCAAAUAGUAAAGCGAUAGGCAAGAUAGGCGUAGAAACAUGCUUAUAGAAAAAUCAGUAGAAGCAGUAAUAGGACAAAGGCAGAGAGACAUGCAUAUUAAUGGCAAAUCAUAAGAAACAAACGAAAACCCCCUAAAGCAUGGCAUGAACACACAGAUCCACAUAAAGAAAGAAGAAGAAGAAGAAUAAGAAGAACAAGAACAAGAACAAGAACAAGAAGAAUCAUUUUAGGAUUUUUGAAAACCCUAAUUUGAACAAACUAAUUAUGAAAAGGAAAAUUAUGGGAAGUCAUUAAAACAUAGAAUAAAGCACAGAUCAGCUGUAGAUCUAAGAAAACAAGGAAAGAAAAACCUCAAAUCAUGCUUUUUACGAUUUUCUCAGAAACCCUAGAGACGAGAAGGCCUGGAAUGGUCUGGUAUCUGAACGAAUCUGGGCCAUGGCUAAGCUUUUCAGAACAUAUCGGAACAGAGCCGGAAAAGCUAAAGGAGCUCAGUUUGGUGGAGGACCUGAAUAGGUCUACUGAAGUUUGAACCUUGAAAGCCUCAAAUAAUCAUGGCUUUGGGUGAAUGGGGGAGAAUAUAGGCUGUCCCUGGCCUUAGAAGCCAUGGACGUUGUUGGAUUUGAUCGGAGACGAAAGUAGGCGGCUAGGGUUUUCGCGAGGCCUAGAGAGCAUUUUAGAGAAGAAGGGAUUUGGGGGCGGC
rnacentral:lncRNA from 1 species